rnacentral:rRNA from 1 species
UACGUAGGGUGCAAGCGUUGUCCGGAAUUAUUGGGCGUAAAAGAGCUCGUAGGCGGUCUGUUGCGUCGGCUGUGAAAACCCGGGGCUCAACCCCGGGCCUGCAGCCGAUACGGGCAGACUAGAGUUCGGCAGGGGAGACUGGAAUUCCUGGUGUAGCGGUGAAAUGCGCAGAUAUCAGGAGGAACACCGGUGGCGAAGGCGGGUCUCUGGGCCGAUACUGACGUGGAGGAGCGAAAGCGUGGGGAGCGAACAGG